GCACUGUUGUUGAAGAAACGAAAUUGAAAAAAAACUUAUGAAAUGAAAGACAACAAAAAAAUAAAACCUUCCUAUAUAGUAAAAAUAGAAAGAAAAAAAAAGAUCCGGUCAUUAAAUGUCAACGGUAAUAUUUUGACGUAUAUGGAAGCUAAUAAUAACAUUAAAUUGAUGAUACGAUACCUUAUUUAAGGUACCGGUAUCAUGAAAUUUGAUACCCUAUGUGCCACGUCAGGGAACUCCAAUAAUAAAAACAAAAUAAGGUAUUGUAUCAUUAGUCUAUAAAACUCUCUUAUAUACCUUUAUUGGAGAUGCUCUAAGUACUUAAAACUAUUUAAGUGGUGUAAGAAGAACAUAAGCCUUAUAAAUUGUAAAGUGAUAAAAUAAAAUUCCAUCUGAUAUAUUCAAAGAUUGGAAAAUAUGGAUAAAAUUUUCAAGUUUGUUUAUGUUAUGAUAGUUCUUCUUUUCCUAGGUUUUGUUUCAACGCAAAAAGUUCCAAGACUUCGAAGUACUUAGUAAAUCAAUUUUAUCUCCUUUUCAAAUUAGAAGAAGAUAAAUGUGGCAUCCACAAUCAAGAAACACCAGCAAUUAAUUUAGUAUUAUUAAUACCUAAAA
rnacentral:lncRNA from 1 species